CAGUAGCCGCGGGAAUACGUAGGUCCCGAGCGUUGUCCGGAUUUAUUGGGCGUAAAGCGAGCGCAGGCGGUUAGAUAAGUCUGAAGUUAAAGGCUGCGGCUUAACCAUAGUACGCUUUGGAAACUGUUUAACUUGAGUGCAAGAGGGGAGAGUGGAAUUCCAUGUGUAGCGGUGAAAUGCGUAGAUAUAUGGAGGAACACCGGUGGCGAAAGCGGCUCUCUGGCUUGUAACUGACGCUGAGGCUCGAAAGCGUGGGGAGCAAACAGGAUUAGAUACCCCAGUAGUCCCUGUCUCUUAUACA
rnacentral:rRNA from 1 species